rnacentral:rRNA from 1 species
AUUGAACGCUGGCGGCAGGCCUAACACAUGCAAGUCGAACGGUAACAGGAAGCAGCUUGCUGCUUCGCUGACGAGUGGCGGACGGGUGAGUAAUGUCUGGGAAGCUGCCUGAUGGAGGGGGAUAACUACUGGAAACGGUAGCUAAUACCGCAUAAUGUCGCAAGACCAAAGAGGGGGCCUUCUGGCCUUCUUGCCACCGUUUGUCCCCAGUUGGAUUUAGCUGGUUGGUGGGGUAACGGCCCACCAGGGCGAGCAUCCCUAGCUGGUCUGACGGGAUGACGAGCCACACUGGAACUGAGACACGGUCCAGACUCCUACGGGAGGCAGCAGUGGGGAAUAUUGCACAAUGGGCGCAAGCCUGAUGCAGCCAUGCCGCGUGUAUGAAGAAGGCCUUCGGGUUGUAAAGUACUUUCAGCGGGGAGGAAGGGAGUAAAGUUAAUACCUUUGCUCAUUGACGUUACCCGCAGAAGAAGCACCGGCUAACUCCGUG